GGAUUGAACGCUGGCGGCAUGCCUUACACAUGCAAGUCGAACGGCAGCACGGGAGCAAUCCUGGUGGCGAGUGGCGAACGGGUGAGUAAUAUAUCGGAACGUGCCCAGUCGUGGGGGAUAUCGCAGCGAAAGCUGUGCUAAUACCGCAUACGAUCUAUGGAUGAAAGCGGGGGAUCGCAAGACCUCGCGCGAUUGGAGCGGCCGAUAUCAGAUUAGCUAGUUGGUAGGGGUAAAAGCCUACCAAGGCGACGAUCUGUAGCUGGUCUGAGACGGACGACCAGCCACACUGGAACUGAGACACCGGUCCAGACGUCCUACGGGAGGCAGGCAGGUGGGGUAAUUUUAGGGACAAGUGGGCG
rnacentral:rRNA from 1 species